rnacentral:rRNA from 1 species
AGAGUUUGAUCCUGGCUCAGGACGAACGCUGGCGGCGUGCCUAAUACAUGCAAGUCGUACGCUUCUUUUUCCACCGGAGCUUGCUCCACCGGAAAAAGAAGAGUGGCGAACGGGUGAGUAACACGUGGGUAACCUGCCCAUCAGAAGGGGAUAACACUUGGAAACAGGUGCUAAUACCGUAUAACAAUCGAAACCGCAUGGUUUUGAUUUGAAAGGCGCUUUCGGGUGUCACUGAUGGAUGGACCCGCGGUGCAUUAGCUAGUUGGUGAGGUAACGGCUCACCAAGGCCACGAUGCAUAGCCGACCUGAGAGGGUGAUCGGCCACAUUGGGACUGAGACACGGCCCAAACUCCUACGGGAGGCAGCAGUAGGGAAUCUUCGGCAAUGGACGAAAGUCUGACCGAGCAACGCCGCGUGAGUGAAGAAGGUUUUCGGAUCGUAAAACUCUGUUGUUAGAGAAGAAUAAGGAUGAGAGUAACUGUUCAUCCCUUGACGGUAUCUAACCAGAAAGCCACGGCUAACUACGUGCCAGCAGCCGCGGUAAUACGUAGGUGGCAAGCGUUGUCCGGAUUUAUUGGGCGUAAAGCGAGCGCAGGCGGUUUCUUAAGUCUGAUGUGAAAGCCCCCGGCUCAACCGGGGAGGGUCAUUGGAAACUGGGAGACUUGAGUGCAGAAGAGGAGAGUGGAAUUCCAUGUGUAGCGGUGAAAUGCGUAGAUAUAUGGAGGAACACCAGUGGCGAAGGCGGCUCUCUGGUCUGUAACUGACGCUGAGGCUCGAAAGCGUGGGGAGCAAACAGGAUUAGAUACCCUGGUAGUCCACGCCGUAAACG